AUAUUUUUAGAGAAUAAAGAAAGUGCCAGAACUGUCAAGGCAAUAACUUUUGAAAAAACAGUACAGGCACCUAUUUCAGUCCAAGUCAAGCACUGAAUUAGAUAAUUGAACAAGAAGAAAAAUAUUUAAUAGAGAGUAAAGAAAGUGCCGGAACUGUCAAGACAACUUUGUGUCUGUUUGUCAUUGUUACUACAGGACGACUAGAAUUAUGUCUGAGGCCGGUAACAUCAACAGUGAGGACAAACCCAGCCUGCCUCUCUCAUUCCACACUGAGUCCAAACCUACAGUCACUGGGUCCUGAUUGUGACAAUGGAGCCCAGUUUUCUCUGCAGGAUCCAGAGAUGGCAUCAGUGAAGCUGGAAGACUGCAGUCAAACACUGGAGCUGAAUGUCAACAUUAAAGAUGAAGAAGAGUCGGAGAAGAUUGGGAAAUCUGUUUCUCAUGGAGACCACGUUGAGACAUUCUCUACAUCCAGAGAGCAACAGCAGGAAGAUCACAUAGCUAAGAGGUCUCACCACUGCCCACAUUGUGAGGAGAUUUUCCCAAUUCUAUCAAAGCUAAAAAUACACUUAAAAAUACACGCAGGAGAAAAUCUUUAUUCCUGCGCUGACUGUGGAAAAUGCUUCACAACGUCAACUGAGCUAAAAGUUCAUCAGAGAACACACACGGGAGAAAAGCCUUAUUCCUGCUCUGGUUGUGGGGUGAGUUUCUCUCGACUGGGCCACUUAAAAAGACAUGAACAUAUACAUACAGGAGAGAAGCCUUGCUUCUGCUCUGACUGUGGGAAGAGUUUUUCUCGACUGGACCUCUUAAAAAAGCAUGAACUUAUACAUACAGGAGAGAAGCCUUACUCCUGCCCUGACUGUGGAAGGAGUUUUUCUCGACUGAGCCACUUAAAAAAACAUGAACUUAUACAUACAGUAGUGAAGCCUUACCCCUGCUCUGACUGUGUAAAAUGCUUCACAACAUCAGCUCAGCUAAAAGUUCAUCAGAGAACACACACAGGUGGGAAGCCUUACUCCUGCUCUGGUUGUGGGGUGAGUUUCUCUCAACUGGGCCACUUAAAAAGACACGAACAUAUACAUACAGGAGUGAAUACUUAUGCCUGCUCUAACUGUGUGAAAUGCUUCAUUACAUCAACUGAUCUAAAAGUUCAUCAGAGAACACACACAGGAGAGAAGCCUUACUCCUGCUCUGACUGUGGAAAGAGUUUCUCUCUACUGGGCAACUUAAAAAGACAUGAACGUAUACAUACAGGAGUGAAGCCUUACUCCUGCUCUGAUUGUGGAAAGAGUUUCUCUCAAAUGGGCCAGUUGAAAAGACACCAAGCUAAACAUAAAGGAGAGAAGACUUACCACUUGUAAUGUGGCAAGAGUAACUCAAGUGAAAGUCACCAAGUAAAAUACUACUUGUGUAAAAAGUUGAAAUUAUUUGGUUGUAUCAAAAGUAGAAGUAUGAAUCAUUUCAAAUUCCUUAAAUUAACCUCUGGGUGUCCCUAAACCGGGACGGUUGUUGCUAACGUGCGCUAAUGUGACUAGAAUGACGUUGAAUCCAACAGCCAACUAUCUAACUGCGGUCACCAAUUUAACAGUAGCUGUUACAGUGAAAAAAAUACCAUGCUAUUGUUUGAGGAGAGUGCACGACAAUAAAAUAACUUAUCACGGCGACUGGUUUGAUAUAUUCACCUCUGAAGGUAAAUAAUGUACUUACAUUCAGUAAUCUUGCUCUGAUAUGUCAUCCUGAGGGUCCCACAGAUAAAAUGUAGCAUAGAUUCGUUUGAUAAAAUACAUUUUCAUGUUCAACUGUAGGAACUGGGUUCUACAUUUUUAACCCCUGCUGUCUCUGGCUCCACACCCACCCCACCCAGCCAUCAAGAUGUGUGAAGGUUAGUGUAUAAGCUAAUGAUCCGUCAUGUAUGACAUUCCUGGGAGUGUGUAAACUUAAUUUAUUUAAUACCAUAGCAUUUGUAUAUGUUCUCUAUAGUAAUGUACUUAAAUGACCAAUUCGGCACAUUUGGGCAAAUUCCUGGCAGACUUGAUACAGUCCAGUAAUGUAAUUCUUCACUGCAUCAGUCAAACUGUGCACACACACUGCUGCCAUCUGGUGGCCAACAUCUAAAUUACAUCUAGACUCCUUUCUGAAAGUAUGGCCUUUCUCUUGCUUUUCAAAGAUGAUAGAAAAUAAAAACACAGGUUUUUUUGCUUGUAUUAUCUUUUACCAGAUCUAAUGUGUUAUUCUCCUACAUUAAUUUCACAUUUCCACAAACUUCAAAUUGUUUCCUUUUAAACGGUCUCAAGAAUAUGCAUGUAUUUGCUUCAGGUGCUGAGCUACAGGCAGUUAGAUUUGCGUAUGUCAUUUUAGGUGAAAAUGUCACCCAAAAAAAUGGGUACGAUCCUUGAGCUUUUUAAGUGAACCAGACGACACAAUUGUGUUGUUUUUAUAUAUUGCAGAUAGCCAGGGGCACACUCCAGCACCAUUUACAAACGGAGCAUUUGUGUUUAGUGAGUGCGCCAGAUCAGAGGCCGUGGGGAGGACCAGGGAUGUUAUCUUGAUAAGUGCAUGAAUUUGACUAUUUUCUGUCAUGCUAAUCAUAAAAACAUGUAAUGAGUACUUUUGGGUGUCAGGGAAAAUGUAUGGAGUAAAAAGUACAUUUUCUUUAGGAAUUUUUGGGGAGUAAAAGUUGUCAAAUAUAAAGAGUAAAGUACAGAUACCCCCAAAAAACGACUUAGGUAAAAACUAAGUACUUUACACCACUGCAUGCAUCCAUGCCGUGUGUCAGCAUUGCAGGCUGGUGGUGUGAAGGCGUUGGGGUGUGUUUUCAGGGCACACAUUGGGCCUCUUGAUAAAAGAUGAGCAACAUUUGAAUGCAACAGAUGAUCUAAACAUCAUUGCCAAUCAGGUGCCUCCCUUCAUGGCAGCAGUUUAUCCAUCUGCAAGUUGUUUUCUUCAGCAGUAUUAUGCCACAAGACUUGUCCAGGAAUGGUUCCAAGAACAGCUCACUGAAUUCACUGUAAUUGUGCAUCUGUGGGAGGAGAUGAAACGAGCUAUUCAGAGUAGAUCCACUCCCAGCCAACUUGACACAAUUGUGGGACGCAUUGGAGUCAACAUGGGUCAGCGUCCCUGUGGAACACUCAACACCUUUGACAGUCUAUGCCGUGACGAUUUGAGGCUGUUCUGAGGACAAAGGGGGGUGCAACUCAAUAUUAGGAAGGUUUUUCUGAUGUUUUCUACUCUGUGUAUAUCAGAAAAGAUGGUGUGAUUAGUUUGGGUGGAUUAUUUUAUAUUACUAAAUAACCUUUGUUCAAUGAUAAAUGUAGAGCUUGUAUGUAUAUUAUGUAUUUUUAGUGUUUCCUGUUUGACCCCAGGAAGAGUAGCCGCUGGGGAUCCUAAUAAAAUACUAAAUGUAUCAGAUAUUAAUGACGUGUUGAUCAGUUUUCACCAUUAGUAUUUUAAUGAACGUUUCAUUCAAUGUGUUUCUAUGGGAUAUAGUAGUAAAGGCCUAAUUCUGUAUUUUAUCAAAUCCUUUUUAAUCAUGUUUAUACCUAAUGUCCUAAAAUUCUAAAUAAAUGAUCUAAACAAUC